rnacentral:lncRNA from 1 species
UUACUGUUCGUGCGGCUGCGCCACUUGAUAUGCGAGUGUCGAUUGCCUGUUACAAACUGGGAAGCUGUGGGGAAUAUUAUGUUGUAGCCAAUCAGUUUGCGGUAGACAAAUCAACAGUAAAAAAGUUUGUGUGUAUGUUCUGAGGCAAAGGUGUCCUCGGUGAUCCGAGAUCUUAUCAAACUCCCAACGCUGGAGGAGGCCUGCGCCAUCGCACAGAGAUUUGAGAGGGUGUACCACACUCCGCAAAUCAUCGGAUGCGUGGACGGUGCACAUAUCCCUAUCCUGCCACCUACUGACGGAUACAGGGACUUUGUCAACCGCAAAGGCUGGCCUUCCAAUGUUCUUCAAGGGAUUGUUGAUGAUACCUAUUGUCUGACACAGCAUUUGGAAUAUCAGCUGCAAACUGCCUGGAAGUGCACAUGAUGCAAAUGUAGUGAGACAAUCGACUCUGUUUGAGAAGGCUCACCUACUCCCAAAGGGUGAAGAACAUACUGUACAGGGAGGCAGGUGAACUUUUUCGUUCUUGGCGACCUGGAGAGAGCCCUACCUCAACCUGGUGCACAAGCACAGAAUGCACCCAACGCCAAUGGUCAUGCUGCAAGGCAAGCCCUGACAGAGUACAUGGCAGCCAACUUCCCUCUCCGCAGGCGAGAAAUGUUAAACAAAUGACCUGAAAUGUCAAAGACUAAAUAGGACUUAGUAGUACUACAAGUCGGCCUACUACCACUACUGUAUUGAGCCAAAGCAAUCGUAUCAUAAUAUGUUGUGAAAUGUUUUGUUGAUGCAGAUAAGCUAAUAAAUAUUUGUUUAGAAUUUUAUUUUAAAGAUGCACAAAUGUUAUCAAGUUGCACAAAUGUUAUCAAGCACAGCAAUUUUGACUGCAACAUAUACUUUAAUUAACUAAAAAAUAUAUUUAUUUGAAAGAUUUUAUAUUUUCUAGGGCUAUCUUCUGUAUACCACCCCUACCUUGUCACAACACAGCUGAUUGGCUCAAACCAUUAAGAAGAAAAGAAAGUCCAGAAAUGAACUUUUAACAAGGCAC